rnacentral:rRNA from 1 species
CCAAUAGCGUAUAUUAAAGUUGUUGCAGUUAAAAAGCUCGUAGUUGAAUUUCGGGGUCAGUAGGUUGGUCAUGCCACUGGUAUGUACUGGUCUCACUGAUUCCUCCUUCCUGAUGAACCGUAAUGCCAUUAAUUUGGUGUUGCGGGGAAUUUGGACUGUUACUUUGAAAAAAUUAGAGUGUUUAAAGCAAGCUAACGCUUGAAUACAUUAGCAUGGAAUAAUGAAAUAGGACGUUCGAUCCUAUUUUGUUGGUUUCUAGGAUUGACGUAAUGAUUAAUAGGGAUAGUUGGGGGCAUUAGUAUUCAAUUGUCAGAGGUGAAAUUCUUGGAUUUAUUGAAGACUAACUACUGCGAAAGCAUUUGCCAAGGAUGUUUUCAUUAAUCAAGAACGAAAGUUAGGGGAUCGAAGACGAUCAGAUACCGUCGUAGUCUUAACCAUAAACUAUGCCGACUAGGGAUCGGAUGAUGUUAAUUUUUUAAUGACUCAUUCGGCGCCUUACG